UCCACGCUGUAAACGAUGUGCACUAGGUGUUGGGGAUAGGAUCCUCAGUACCGUAGCUAACGCGUUAAGUGCACCGCCUGGGGAGUAUGCCCGCAAGGGUGAAACUCAAAGGAAUUGACGGGGGCCCGCACAAGCGGUGGAGCAUGUGGUUUAAUUCGAUGAUACGCGAGGAACCUUACCAGGGCUUGACAUAAUAAUGACGACAUUGGAGACAAUGUUUUCCCUUCGGGGAC
rnacentral:rRNA from 1 species